rnacentral:rRNA from 1 species
GACCUAUCAGCUUUCGACGGUAGUGUAUUGGACUACCGUGGCAGUGACGGGUAACGGGGAAUUAGGGUUCGAUUCCGGAGAGGGAGCCUGAGAAACGGCUACCACAUCUAAGGAAGGCAGCAGGCGCGCAAAUUACCCAAUCCUGACUCAGGGAGGUAGUGACAAGAAAUAACAACACUGGAAAUUUUAUUUCUAGUGAUUGGAAUGAUGGGAAUUUAAACCCCUUUCAGAGUAACAAUUGGAGGGCAAGUCUGGUGCCAGCAGCCGCGGUAAUUCCAGCUCCAAUAGCGUAUAUUAAAGUUGUUGCAGUUAAAAAGCUCGUAGUUGGAUAUCUGCUGGAAGCAAUCAGUCCGCCCUAUUUGUAGGGUGUGCACUUGAUGAAUUCUGGCAUCUAUGUCCCGAUAAUAUAACGUGGAGGUCGUCCUCCCGUUUAUUGGGAACAUACUGUUACUUUGAGAAACUUAGAGUGUUUGAAGCAGGCUAAUUGCCUUGAAUACUGCAGC